rnacentral:rRNA from 1 species
UACGGAGGAUGCGAGCGUUAUCCGGAUUUAUUGGGUUUAAAGGGUGCGUAGGCGGGCUUUUAAGUCAGCGGUAAAAAUUCGGGGCUCAACCCCGUCCGGCCGUUGAAACUGGGGGCCUUGAGUGGGCGAGAAGAAGGCGGAAUGCGCGGUGUAGCGGUGAAAUGCAUAGAUAUCACGCAGAACCCCGAUUGCGAAGGCAGCCUUCCGGCGCCCUACUGACGCUGAGGCACGAAAGUGCGGGGAUCGAACAGG